rnacentral:lncRNA from 1 species
GGUGUUUGUAAGGCAAUUUUAGAGCCCCAACUCCUUGUGAUCAUUAAAUAGACGAAAACAUAACAGUACAACAAUAAAAUACUACAAUAAGUACAAUCACAUAACAUAUUGACGAACGAGACAAUCAUACAAGUCUCAAAGAGAUUGUAACUUACUAACUUGUAAGUUGUAAGCCAUUAAAAUUCUUGACAUCCCAAAUGUCAUUGUAGGAAACUAGAAGUCCACCCACGAACUAUUGUCUUUGUUUUGUAAAGAAAUAGAAAAAAUAAAAAAUUUAUCGAUCUUUCGAUAAAUCACAAAAUAGUGGUUUUUGAGGGGGUUUUCUCACCCUAAAGGCCACGGAUUUUCUAUUGGAGGUUUAGAAUACCCCCUAAAACCCUUUUCCCCCUUUUUAGGGGGGAAAAAUUACAUAUUUUACCCUCACCCGAGGGUUUUUGCAGCCGCCCUCAAGGUGUCACGGGGCAGCGCCUAGGCGGUACUCAGACAAUAGCGCCUAGGCAGCACCAAACCGCCUAGGCGUUAGCCCAAAAGCAAAAACGCCUAAUGCACCCGCCCAAACUGCACCUAGGCAUUUUGAAAUUUUUUUUGCCUAGGCGAUCGGGCAGCCAAAUUUUUGAACAUUGAGUAACC